rnacentral:rRNA from 1 species
GGGCGNUAGGUGUGGGGCUCAUUCCACGAGUUCCGUGCCGCAGCAAACGCAUUAAGCGCCCCCGCCUGGGGAGUACGGCCGCAAGGCUAAAACUCAAAGGAAUUGACGGGGGCCCGCACAAGCGGCGGAGCAUGCGGAUUAAUUCGAUGCAACGCGAAGAACCUUACCCAAGGCUUGACAUANCAGGGUAAACCGGCAGAAACGUCGGGUCCGCAAGGGAUCCUGUACAGGUGGUGCAUGGUUGUCGUCAGCUCGUGUCGUGAGAUGUUGGGUUAAGUCCCGCAACGAGCGCAACCCUCGUUCUAUGUUGCCAGCGCGUAAUGGCGGGGACUCAUAGGAGACUGCCGGGGUCAACUCGGAGGAAGGUGGGGAUGACGUCAAAUCAUCAUGCCCCUUAUGUCUUGGGCUUCACGCAUGCUACAAUGGCCAGUACAAAGGGCUGCGAGACCGCCAAGGUGGAGCGAAUCCCAAAAAACUGGUCUCAGUUCGGAUUGGGGUCUGCAACUCGACCCCAUGAAGUCGGAGUCGCUAGUAAUCGCAGACCAGCAACGCUGCGGUGAAUACGUUCCCGGGCCUUGUACACACCGCCCGUCAAGUCACGAAAGUCGGUAACACCCGAAGCCGGUGGCCCAACCCUUGGGAGGGAGCCGUCGAAGGUGGGACUGGCGAUUGGGACUAAGUCGUAANCAAGGUACC